GAUGAACGCUAGCGGCAAGCUUAAUACAUGCAAGUCGAGGGGCAGCAUGACUGUAGCAAUACAGUUGAUGGCGACCGGCAAACGGGUGCGGAACACGUACAGAACCUUCCUUCGAGCGGGGAAUAGCCCAGAGAAAUUUGGAUUAAUACCCCAUAGUAUAUCAGAGUGGCAUCACUUUGAUAUUAAAGAUUUAUCACUUGAAGAUGGCUGUGCGGCUGAUUAGAGGGUUGGUGAGGUAACGGCUCACCAAGUCUGCAAUCAGUAACUGGUGUGAGGGCACGACCAGUCGCACGGGCACUGCGAAGCGGGCCCGACUCCUACGGGAGGCAGCAGUAAGGAAUAUUGGUCAAUGGACGAAAGUCUGACCCAGCUAUGCCGCGUGGAGGAUGAAGGCCCUCUGGGUUGUAAACUUCUUUUAUAUGGGACGAAAAAGGGCCUUUCUAGGUCAACUGACGGUACCAUGUGAAUAAGCACCGGCUAACUCCGUGCCAGCCGCCGCCGUAAAAC
rnacentral:rRNA from 1 species